AAUGACACUCCAGGACAUUGUGCACAAUACUGCAGUUACACUGCAAUGGAGAAUGAUACACGGGAGAUCAUCAGUGUUGUAACUGUAGAUAAGAGACAGACUGACAGAAGAUCAACUGUUAUGGAAAAGGAGGCCUUCAUCCGAACAGUUGAUCAGCUUAUGGCUGAGGUGAAGCUGGUGGAAAUCUGUACAGAUGCCCACUCACAGAUUAGUGCUGUCAUGGAUCCUGAAAAGGGGAGGUAUAAGGGACAAGGAAUAAAUCACAGUCUUGACAUGUGGCAUGGAGC